UACGAAGGGGGCUAGCGUUGUUCGGAAUUACUGGGCGUAAAGCGCACGUAGGCGGGUUUGUAAGUAGGGGGUGAAAUCCCAGGGCUCAACCCUGGAAUUGCCUUCUAGACUGCAAGCCUGGAGGUCAGGAGAGGCGAGCGGAAUUCCGAGUGUAGAGGUGAAAUUCGUAGAUAUUCGGAGGAGCACCAGUGGCGAAGGCGGCUCGCUGGACUGAUACUGACGCUGAGGUGCGAAGGCGUGGGGAGCAAACAGG
rnacentral:rRNA from 1 species